rnacentral:rRNA from 1 species
UGCUGACGAGUGGCGGACGGGUGAGUAAUGUCUGGGAAACUGCCUGAUGGAGGGGGAUAACUACUGGAAACGGUAGCUAAUACCGCAUAACGUCGCAAGACCAAAGAGGGGGACCUUCGGGCCUCUUGCCAUCGGAUGUGCCCAGAUGGGAUUAGCUAGUAGGUGGGGUAACGGCUCACCUAGGCGACGAUCCCUAGCUGGUCUGAGAGGAUGACCAGCCACACUGGAACUGAGACACGGUCCAGACUCCUACGGGAGGCAGCAGUGGGGAAUAUUGCACAAUGGGCGCAAGCCUGAUGCAGCCAUGCCGCGUGUAUGAAGAAGGCCUUCGGGUUGUAAAGUACUUUCAGCGGGGAGGAAGGGAGUAAAGUUAAUACCUUUGCUCAUUGACGUUACCCGCAGAAGAAGCACCGGCUAACUCCGUGCCAGCAGCCGCGGUAAUACGGAGGGUGCAAGCGUAAUCGGAAUUACUGGGCGUAAAGCGCACGCA